AUGAUAGAGGCGCGGUACUCAAAAGUAGCAUGGCACAAGCGGCUUCGGCUUCGUGUGAAAGGGUGUAUCGCCGAAAAAGUUUCGAUAGCGAGCAUAUAUCGGGCUUUUGGUAUUGCGGAUAAUAUCCGUUGUACUGUCGCCAAGGCGGAGAGCUAUCGAA
rnacentral:ncRNA from 1 species